rnacentral:tRNA from 1 species
GCGCCCGUAGUCAAACUGGAUUGGCACCUGAUUACGGAUCAGGAUCGAUGCGAGUUCAAGUCUCGCCGGGCGCC